UGGGGUGUAGCCAAGCGGUAAGGCAACGGGUUUUGAUCCCGUCAUGCGUAGGUUCGAAUCCUACCACCCCAG
rnacentral:tRNA from 1 species